rnacentral:rRNA from 1 species
CACGUAGGGGGCGAGCGUUGUCCGGAUUUAUUGGGCGUAAAGAGCUCGUAGGCGGUUCGGCAAGUCGGGUGUGAAAUUUCGAGGCUCAACCUGGAGACGCCACCCGAUACUGCCAUGGCUAGAGUCCGGUAGGGGACCACGGAAUUCCUGGUGUAGCGGUGAAAUGCGCAGAUAUCAGGAGGAACACCGGUGGCGAAGGCGGUGGUCUGGGCCGGAACUGACGCUGAGGAGCGAAAGCGUGGGGAGCGAACAGG